rnacentral:rRNA from 1 species
CCUACGGGAGGCAGCAGUGGGGAAUAUUGGGCAAUGGGCGCAAGCCUGACCCAGCAACGCCGCGUGAAGGAAGAAGGCUUUCGGGUUGUAAACUUCUUUUCUCAGGGACGAAGAAAGUGACGGUACCUGAGGAAUAAGCCACGGCUAACUACGUGCCAGCAGCCGCGGUAAUACGUAGGUGGCAAGCGUUAUCCGGAUUUAUUGGGUGUAAAGGGCGUGUAGGCGGGAGCGCAAGUCAGAUGUGAAAACUCAGGGCUCAACCCUGAGCCUGCAUUUGAAACUGUGUUUCUGGAGUGCUGGGGAGGCAAUCGGAAUUCCGGGUGUAGCGGUGAAAGGCGUAGAUAUACGGAGGAACACCAGUGGCGAAGGCGGAUUGCGGGACAGUAACUGACGCUGAGGCGCGAAAGCGUGGGGAGCAAACAGGAUUAGAUACCCCAGUAGUC